rnacentral:rRNA from 1 species
AACGAACGCUGGCGGCAUGCCUAACACAUGCAAGUCGAACGAGACCUUCGGGUCUAGUGGCGCACGGGUGCGUAACGCGUGGGAAUCUGCCCUUAGGUUCGGAAUAACUUCGGGAAACUGAAGCUAAUACCGGAUGAUGACGUAAGUCCAAAGAUUUAUCGCCUAAGGAUGAGCCCGCGUAGGAUUAGCUAGUUGGUGAGGUAAAAGCUCACCAAGGCGACGAUCCUUAGCUGGUCNGAGAGGAUGAUCAGCCACACUGGGACUGAGACACGGCCCAGACUCCUACGGGAGGGCAGCAGUGGGGAAUAUUGGACAAUGGGCGCAAGCCUGAUCCAGCCAUGCCGCGUGAGUGAUGAAGGCCUUA